AGAUUGAACGCUGGCGGCAGGCCUAACACAUGCAAGUCGAGCGGUAGAGAGGUGCUUGCAUCUCUUGAGAGCGGCGGACGGGUGAGUAAUGCCUAGGAAUCUGCCUAGUGGUGGGGGAUAACGUUCGGAAACGGACGCUAAUACCGCAUACGUCCUACGGGAGAAAGCGGGGGACCUUCGGGCCUCGCGCCAUUAGAUGAGCCUAGGUCGGAUUAGCUAGUUGGUGAGGUAAUGACUCACCAAGGCGACGAUCCGUAACUGGUCUGAGAGGAUGAUCAGUCACACUGGAACUGAGACACGGUCCAGACUCCUACGGGAGCAGCAGUGGGGAAUAUUGGACAAU
rnacentral:rRNA from 1 species